rnacentral:tRNA from 1 species
AGUAAGUUAGUAUAGCCAAUACCUUUAACUUAGGCUUAAAAAACGGAGAAAUUCCACUUACCA